UUUGUACUCCCUCCGUCCAAUAAAAGAUGUCUCAACUUUGACUAAUUUUGAAUGCAUCUAUACACUAAGUCAUGUCUAGAUACAUUCAAAUUUUAACAAACUUGAGACAUCUUUUGUUGGACGGAGGGAGUAGAAA
rfam:Brachypodium distachyon strain Bd21 chromosome 3, whole genome shotgun sequence.